rnacentral:lncRNA from 1 species
GAUUAACUAUAGCUCUGGAGUUUUUGCAGAUUUUCAAAUAAAACUCAGAGAUUCCUUGUAUGACUCUCUCUAGUCUCUCUUUUGUGGUAUUUCUGGAUCCUUACCAAGGCAGUAAUGGUAUAUGCCUUCUCUCAAAGUAUGUAGUAUUUUUGGUAUGAGGCAUAGUGGCAUUGCCUUCUCUCUCACCCUACUCUAAUAAGGUUUUGAUAUCUGGAGCUCAUAGGUGGGAGACAACUAAUACAAACUUACAAGACAUUUAUUGCAUAGUCAAACCAUGGAUCCAGAAGAACAAGUCAAUAAGUUAAAUCAAGAUGUGCAUGUGUGGCGAAUGAAUGGUGUAUGGUGAUGAUGGUGAUAACAAUGGUGAAAGUCUAAUUCUACUUUUCCUCUUUUGGGGUGUACAUACCUUCCUUGCUCUUUUGAAACUUUUGGGGAGAAUUUGAUGCUCUAUAUUUUCUUUUUCUUUUCUCUUAGGUGAGUAUCUUGUAACCCUAAUUCUACUGUCGGACACUUGUCCAUUUUUACCUCUCGUCUCACUUUUUUCUUUUCUUUCGAGGUUCCGGGCACUUGCCCCUUUUUAUUUCCUCGUAUUCACCUUUUUUUCAGAGCACUCAUCCUCCUAGAAUAAUGUAGCAAGUGGUAGUAACCAAAAUAUCUUGAGCAUUUAUUUCACAGGGAAAAACAGGAAUAGGAGAAUGUUUUUGGUUAUUCUCUCCCGGAUUAGGAGUAGAAUAUAUUUGGGUGGUUCUGGAGAUGGAAAUGGAUGGAUAUAUGUGGAUGCAUACUUCCGUAGUAGAAGCAGCAUGUGUGAGUGAACGUGCAAGUGAAUCUUGAUUUAACCACAUGACAAGUUCCUAAGGGUCUACACAGCUUGACCACACUCAAUGCUCAUAAGCAGUAAAGUAAAUGUGUGGCUCAAAGUUUAGCAAGCAUGUAUAUAUGGCUGUGGUAGGAAUUUAAAACUCUCAUCAUGCAGGAACUCAUCAUGCAACAUUUUAAAGAUUUUCAA